AUACUUAUCUGGCACAGAAGGUUCCGUUAUCAAGAAGGCGGACCUUCCAGGGUGAGGCCCUCCCAUUACACUACGGUUGGGUUGACCCCUGCGAACAUCCCUAAUGUGGAUAUCUCGAGCGUAUUGUUUUCCGAUAGAGUAAAUCAACGAUUUUACA